UACGAGGGUGCGAGCGUUGUCCGGAAUCACUGGGCGUAAAGGGCGCGUAGGCGGCGCGGGAAGUCAUCGGUGAAAGUUCAGGGCUCAACUCUGAAUCGGCCGGUGAUACUCUCGUGCUUGAGCACUGUAGAGGCAGGUGGAAUUCCGGGUGUAGCGGUGGAAUGCGUAGAGAUCCGGAAGAACACCGGUGGCGAAGGCGGCCUGCUGGGCAGUAGCUGACGCUGAUGCGCGACAGCGUGGGGAGCAAACAGG
rnacentral:rRNA from 1 species